rnacentral:lncRNA from 1 species
UGUUUAUUGUCUGUCUCCCUUACAGCCUGUGAGCUCCACAAAACUGAGAUUUUGGCUUGUUCUCUGCUGUAUCCUCAGAGCUGGUGGGAGAAAUUGAUGAAUGUUUCUUGCAGGAAUCUCAAGUCAAUGGCAUCUCUUCUACAGGAGAUAAUGUGGCCCAUUCCCACCAUCUUGGUGUCUGAGAUGAGCACCGCCAUCUGUAUCCCCAAAGCCCCCAUCUCUCCACCACAAGCAAUUGCUGUUUAAAUCUCUGCCAUCGAAAAAGUAGCAGGACUCACAGUGUCGUGGAUGAUAUAAAUAGAAUUCCUAUAGGAAAAGAUAUUUGGCAAAAAAAUUUGCUAUUUGAGAUACCUCUAUCCUUAAAUCCAUUGUUGGAACAAAGGAUAGGGGAGCCUCACUUCCAAAGCUUGUGUAGUGAUGGGUGACAAUAAGUCUCCUCUGAUUUGUGGUGUGUUAGCUUGAGGUUGGUUGGUUUUAUAAAUCGAAUGAAAGCAAGGUACCCAAAGUGCACCAAUUACUCUAAGAAGGUUUCAUUUCUUGGAAGCUGACUGAUGUAGAAACAAGUGGGUCCUGAAGGAUUGGGAUUCACUUGGCAGAAGUUGUCCUCCCACUCAAGCCCUUGACCCCAGGGAAACACAUCCAGAAUUCCUGAGAUUGCAGGGACCCAGCUACUGGAUGAAAUUGUGUCCAGAAACUGGGAAGUGGGACCAGCCAUUGUGCAGACGAGCCUUAAAUGAGUGGUCUGGGCUGAAGGCGGGAGAUCCAGGAAGGAGAAGAGGAUUCCUUGCUGUCUCUAUCAAGACAGGCUCUAAGGUCAGAAGAACAAAGAAGUUGGAUGUCUGUAAAGUGAGGGCGUCUUGCCCCUGACACAGGUGAUUCCAAGGCCAGGCAGCCAGGGAGGUCAGACAGAGACAGUGCGGGGAGCACCCAGCAUCCUGCCUGGGGAGAACGGGGCCGGCACUUCCAUGAUGUGUCACACACUGGCAGACCUGCCCCCCAGAUCACAAACCUAAUGCCCUCACAGGUAUGCCCACCUGGAGUUCCACUGAACCUGGUAACACCCCACCCACGUGCAGGUCGCUGCCCCUCUGCCUGCAGUCCUGUCUUCAGCCCAGGUGAGAACCUCCAGAGCUGUGCUUGGAAACUUCCAUGAGUCGCCAGUUACUCUGGCUGUUGUGCCCUAGACUAGACAAUGCCUCCUAACAGGUCUCCUGUCUGAGUCCAGGCCCUUAUGCCUCCCUGACCUUCUCCAUGAUGCCUAUCGGAUGACCUUUCCUGGUUUUUUUUGAGGAAGAUUAGCCCUGAGCUAACAUCUGCUGCCUAUCCUCCUCUUUUUGCUGAAGAAGACUGGCCCUGAGCUAACAUACGUGCCCAUCUUCCUCUACUUUAUAUGUGGGACGCCUGCCACAGCAUGGCUUGCCAAGGGGUGCCAUGUCCGCACCGGGGGUCCAAACUGGCGAACCCCUCGCCGCCAAAGCAGAAUAUGCACACUUAACGGCUGCACCACCGGCCAGCCCCAGGAUGAUCUUUCUAAAAUGCAAAUUUUAAGGUGUAAUUCUCUAGCUUAGAAAACCUCCAGGACUCCACAGUGCCUGCCUAAGGAAAAGUGCACCCCUCGCCCUGGCACGUGACACUUCCGAGAGCUCAGUCUCCCAGCCUCAUCUGCACAGAUUUUCUCCCAGGAUCCUCCUCAGUUCCACUACCCACCCCUCCCAGAAGCAGUGAUAGCAGGUGCCCAGCCACAGGGAAGGACAGGCCCAUCACUCCACAUGGAGUUCUCCACCGGGAUGCAGAGGCCUCUGAUGGGGGCUGAAUCUGUGCUCAUGCUCAGGUAGAGGAGGAGCCAGGAAGACGCCAAAAGAGACAAAAAAGAUGCCAAAAGAGCUUUUCUCUUUCUGACACACAAGAAACCUUUCAAUGCCUCUGUCAUGGAAGGCUUAGCUUGCAUAACAAACCUAGUCUCCUUUCUGAGCCCUGAGUUCCUGACGCUUUUUUCCCCACUGUCCAACAAGGGGAAAAAUUCCUUCCAGGGAUUUCCACAUUGAACUACAACAUGAGGUGGUGUAACAAUACUAUUGUUAUUAUUAUUAUUAUUUUGGUGAGGAAGAUUGGCCCUGAGCUAACAUCUGUACCAGUCUUCCUCUAUUUUGUAUGUGAGACACAGCCACAGCAUGGCUUGAUGAGCAGUGUGUAGGUCUACGCCCAGGAUCCAAACCUGCGAAUCCCAGACCACCAAAGCAGAGUAUGAAAACCUAACCACUAUGCCACCAGGCCAGCCCCAACAACACUAUUUUUGGAAACAGCAGUUUGCUUUAACAAUAGCAUUCCUGCUUAAACCUGGCUUUGAUGAAAAAUUCUUCCCCCAAAACUGAUUAUAUAAGUAUAGCAAAAUAUUUGAUAAGAAAAUGUGAUAUAACUUUAAAUAAAAUAUGUAAAAAUGGUUUUAAUCA